rnacentral:rRNA from 1 species
CCUACGGGUGGCUGCAGUGGGGAAUAUUGGACAAUGGGGGGAACCCUGAUCCAGCCAUGCCGCGUGUGUGAAGAAGGCCCUCGGGUUGUAAAGCACUUUCAGUGAGGAAGAACGCCUGGUGGUUAAUACCCAUCAGGAAAGACAUCACUCACAGAAGAAGCACCGGCUAACUCCGUGCCAGCAGCCGCGGUAAUACGGAGGGUGCGAGCGUUAAUCGGAAUUACUGGACGUAAAGCGCGCGUAGGUGGCUUGAUAAGCCGGUUGUGAAAGCCCCGGGCUCAACCUGGGAACGGCAUCCGGAACUGUCAAGCUAGAGUGCAGGAGAGGAAGGUAGAAUUCCCGGUGUAGCGGUGAAAUGCGUAGAGAUCGGGAGGAAUACCAGUGGCGAAGGAGGCCUUCGGGACUGACACUGACACUGAGGUGCGAAAGCGUGGGUAGCACACAGGAUUAGAUACCCUAGUAGUC